UUUAAGCUUCCUACGGGGGCUGCAGUGGGGAAUCUUGCGCAAUGGGCGAAAGCCUGACGCAGCCAUGCCGCGUGAAUGAUGAAGGUCUUAGGAUUGUAAAAUUCUUUCACCGGGGACGAUAAUGACGGUACCCGGAGAAGAAGCCCCGGCUAACUUCGUGCCAGCAGCCGCGGUAAUACGAAGGGGGCUAGCGUUGCUCGGAAUUACUGGGCGUAAAGGGAGCGUAGGCGGACAUUUAAGUCAGGGGUGAAAUCCCGGGGCUCAACCUCGGAAUUGCCUUUGAUACUGGGUGUCUUGAGUAUGAGAGAGGUGUGUGGAACUCCGAGUGUAGAGGUGAAAUUCGUAGAUAUUCGGAAGAACACCAGUGGCGAAGGCGACACACUGGCUCAUUACUGACGCUGAGGCUCGAAAGCGUGGGGAGCAAACAGGAUUAGAUACCCUUGUAGUCGAAUUCUUUAUC
rnacentral:rRNA from 1 species